rnacentral:lncRNA from 1 species
AGCUUAGUGGCACAACACACAACCAUGUCAUGUUUAUGCAGGUCAGAAAUUUGGACAGGGCACAGCUCAGGGGAGUUGGUCUCUGCUCCCUGAAGUCUGGAGCUUCUGCAAGCGAGGCCCAAACAGCUGAGAGUGCAGCUUGGAGUGAUCCUCUCACCCAUGUUCCCAGGAUUAGUCUAGGAAUGAGGUUGUGCUGGACAAGGCAGGCUGCGAUCUCUCAUUGUCAUGAUUCCUGGACGUUUCUUGGAGCAGGAAAAGGAGGAUAAAGCCAUCUAUGGCCUCGGGAGCCGAGGGCAGUCUGAUCAGGAUCAGCUCUCUCCUGCCUUUCUAUACGGUGGCCGGUGGUCGUGCAGCCCUGCCUGUGCAGCUACCUAGCAGGCAAGCUGGGCGCUGGGCUUCAUCUCCCGCCCAGCCUCACCAGGCUCCAGCAGGCCAGCCUGUCAGACCCAGCGGGUGAGAGAUUGGCCUUUUUGCUGGAGUUGUACCAAGAAUUUCUCCAGCCCCCUUUGCCAGAAUGCAUGUUUCCAAUUAUGCAAAGCUUCAGGAAAAGCUGACUUCCUUUUGAAUGGUGAAAUAAAAAACGUGGGGUUCUCUGGGAAAGCACCACCAUCACUUCGCCAACGAGGCCCGGUGGAAUGAGGCAAGGGCAGUCCCUGCCCGUGGUCCCCACUGGACUCCCUCCAAACCAGCAGCGGGGCUGCACGCUGUAGCUUGCAUUUUGUACACUCACUUUUUUCCCAUUUGCAAGAUCAGAAUGUGGCUGUCUGCUGUAGAGAAAUGGUCCUUGUGGUCAUAGUGUAUGGGGUAAAUGGCUGGAGGCAGGAGGCUACAUGAGUGCGCCCCAUACACACACCUUGGCUUUUCUAAGGCAACCUAGAAGUAAGAGUCUGGUUUGGGGGUGCCAGGUACAAACCUUAAUGUCAAGUGGCCUGGUAAGGAGCUGUUUAUAUGGGAUGACCCUCUCCUUCCCCCUCUCCCCCUUACCCACUCAGAGUCCCAGCCCUCCCCUCUCCCUCUGAGGGCCACCCCCUUCAAGCCUUUGGCUAGGAUAUGUUCUUUCUCCCUUUCUAUCUGUUCCCUGCCCCUUCCUCCCCUCCCCAUUACAUAGACUCACACUGAGAUUUCUACAAACACCAAAACGAGCAUGGAAGUUUUGAGGGGCCCAGAGAGGAUGUCUGCCAUCCUUUGCUGUCUCACAGACUGAUUUCUUCUAGCAAGCAGCCUCGUAUCCUCCAGGCCCACUUCAGUUUCUUGUAGGCUGAGGGCCAAAGUGACGGUGCCAAAUCCAAAGUAGAGUUAAUCCUAGAUCACCCUCCCUCCCACUGACGGUUUCCGCUGAGCAAAUUUUUCAUACCAUUGCUUAACAGACUUGAACUCCAUCCCCCACACACCCUCCUCCAGUCAGCCAGUUGCUGCUAAAAUGGGGAACACCCACCAUGUUAACUACUCAUCUGAGGGGGAGAAGACAGAAUGGGGGUCGAGAAAGACUUCAGCAAGCCUCUGGGGCUUGUACUGGGUUUUAAGAGAUCUUUCAGGACUUUCUUUUAAGGCUUUAAGGUGCCUCGGGGGAAGUGUUUGUGGGGUGGGUAGACUGAGAGAAAACAGACUUUCUGGGCAGAGAGGGUGAGAAAGGUCCUGGGCAGAGAUGAGAUCUCAUAGUCUGGUCCAGGAGCAGAAUAGCAUGGAGCUCAUCAUGCCAGAGUGUAGGAUGGGAGUGGGGCGCAGGUCAAAGGUGAGGCUGCAGAAGAAGCCAGGGCACAUCAUCAAGGUCCCUGUGUGUAAUGACAAGGAUCUGGGACUCAGUCUUAUGGAAUAAAGGAAUCACUGAGGAUUUUUAAUCAGGAGAGAUUUACAUUUCUCAGAGAUGUAUGGAGGAAGACAUUAUUGGGAGCAGAGCAUCUCUUGGGAAACUCUUGUAACGAUAGUCCAAAAAAGAGAUGAAGAUCCUCAGGGCCAAGGCUUCAGCAAUUUUUGGGUAAAAAGGGAAAACCGACUAAGAAGGGGUAUUUAACAUGCAGAAUGCACAGGCCAUCAUGAGUGACUGCAUCUGAGGUUAGGAUAUGGUUAUGCCCAGGUUUUCUGGCUCAGGGGCCAGGUAAUUAAUAGCACCAUUAAUUCAUAGAGAUAGGAAAUGCUAGAAGAGCAGAAGGUUUGGGAAAGCCCACGAUAAGUUUGGUCAUGGACAUGUGCAGUUGGGGUGCCUGUAGGACAAGUAAGUGGACAUGGAUUUUUUGUUUUUUUGGUUUUUUUUUCAGUCUAGAGUUUGGAAAAAGUGUCCAGUCCAUGCCUUGGCCCAUGCAUCCCAGAAUCUAACCCGGUCCUCUUUCCAUUCACUUCAAACUACUCUCACCCACCUAGUCAGUUGGAACGAUCUGGGAAGUCAUGUGGACAGUAUAUGUUAAUUUUUGUUGUUGUUUUUUGUUUUGUUUUGUUUUGUUUUGUUGACAGUAUACGUUUAAUACCUAGACACCAAACUUGUGUGAAACUCUCCAACCCUCACCUACUUACCCCAUGCCACUUAUCUGCCAUCUAACAAGAGGAAAUAUCUCUUAAGCUCUUGGGUGUCUCUACCAGUGAAUGGUAGGAUUUUAUGUAGCUACAGCAUAUCUGGAAUGAAAGAGUUAUGGUUUUUUGAUGGUGGUGGUGUUUCAGGGGUAUCUUCUGGAACUUAAUGUGUCACACAACCUGGAGCAGACAGAAAUUUAUGUACAUAGCUCAGUAGACUAGAAAUAAGCUAGUAUACUCAAGAACUGCAAAUAGAUGUGUGUGAGGAGGUGGGAUAAGAAGGGUAGAUAGGAGCCAGAACUUGCAAGGUCUUAUAAAUCAUGUUAAAGAGUUUGGAGCAGGAAAGUGACAUAAUCAAAUUUAAACUUUAGAAAGAUUAUUCUAAAUGCAAGAUUGGGGCAGAAGAGAGGGGCUGUCCUGACAGCUGGAAGAUGAGGUAGGAAGAAGCCAUUAUGAUAGUUCAGGCAAGGUAACUACCUGGUCUAGGGUGGUAGCUGUGAGAACAGACACAAGUGGAGAGAUUCAAGGGCUUUUGAGGAGAUGGAAACUAUAGUAUUUGAGUAGUAAGGCUCCUAAAGCUCUUUGUCAGCAUUGUCAACUAUGAUAUCUACCUACCGGAUCCUACCUACCUAUCCUACCUGGCAAGAUGGGAUCCCAAAGCUAUGAAUCAGUUUGUCCUGUGGUCUAAUGGUCAUAUACAGGUGACUAGUCUCCACACUUGACUGUAGGGUGAAUGUAGCAGGAUAGCAGCUAACAGCAAGAUCUCUAAAGGAGCCAGGACACAACAACACAAGCCUUUGGAGGCCACCUAUUAUUGCUUAUAUUAUGCAUGUGAAAGACCAUUUUCAAAAUGUGGUCAGGAGAGACAAAAGAAAUAAAAUAUGAAGACCUUUUCAUCUACUUGGAACAGCUAAUAUGAGCAUAAAUAGCAAAAUGAAAUGAUAGAAUGAGAUUUUAAAGGAGA